rnacentral:rRNA from 1 species
UUAAUCGGAAUACUGGGCCGUAAAGCGAGCGGCAGGACGGUUACUUAAGCAGGAUGUGAAUCCCCGGGUUCAACCUGGGGAACUGCGUUCUGAACUGGGUGACUAGAAGUGUGUUCAGAGGGAGGUAGAAUUCCACGUGUAGCAGUGAAAUGCGUAGAGAUGUGGAGGAAUACCGAUGGCGAAGGCAGCCUCCUGGGAUAACACUGACGUUCAUGCUCGAAAGCGUGGGUAGCAAACAGGAUUAGAUACCCUGGUAGUCCACGCCCUAAACGAUGUCAAUUAGCUGUUGGGCAACUUGAUUGUUCAGUAGCGUAGCUAACGCGUGAAAUUGACCGCCUGGGGAGUACGGUCGCAAGAUUAAAACUCAAAGGAAUUGACGGGGACCCGCACAAGCGGUGGAUGAUGUGGAUUAAUUCGAUGCAACGCGAAGAACCUUACCUGGUCUUGACAUGUACGGAAUCCUCCAGAGACGGAGGAGUGCCUUUGGGAGCCGUAACACAGGUGCUGCAUGGCUGUCGUCAGCUCGUGUCGUGAGAUGUUGGGUUAAGUCCCGCAACGAGCGCAACCCUUGUCAUUAGUUGCCAUCAUUCAGUUGGGCACUUAAUGAGACUGCCGGUGACAAGCCGGAGGAAGGUGGGGAUGACGUCAAGUCCUCAUGGCCCUUAUGACCAGGGCUUCACACGUCAUACAAUGGUCGGUACAGAGGGUAGCCAAGCCGCGAGGUGGAGCCAAUCUCACAAAACCGAUCGUAGUCCGGAUUGCACUCUGCAACUCGAGUGCAUGAAGUCGGAAUCGUAGUAAUCGCAAGUCAGCAUACUGCGGUGAAUACGUUCCCGGGUCUUGCACUCACCGCCC